UGUGAACACACACACUUCCAGCUGACCCUCCACAUCUCUGUUGUAAGCAGAUCCUUACAACAUUUUAAAAAUGAAAUAUGCCCUCUAAAAAUAAUGUGUGCCAAAAGGACUUGUAUCCAGCAUGCAUAAAGAUUUCUUAAAACUUAAUAAUAAAAUAAAACAACUGUUUUUUAAAAAGGUGCAAGAGUUGAACAAACAUUUCCCGAAAGAUGAUAUAUGAAUGAGCACUUGAAAAGAUCUUCAACAUUGUUAGUCAUCAGGGAAAUGCAACUAAAAUCCACAAUGAUAAACUGCAUACCCAUUAAAAUGGCUAAAAUUUAAGACUCAUAAAUCAAAUAUUGCUGAGACUGGAGCAAGUGGAACUUUCAUGCACUGCUGGUGAGUCACAAUGUAAAAUGUUACGUUGUGACUUUAGAAAAUAGCUUGGCAGUCUCUUGAAACAUACACCUACCAUCCAGCCAUUCUAUUCCUAGGUUUAUCCAUAUGGCCAAAGAUUUUUAUACAAGUGUUCAUGGUGUUACUUAUAGUAGUUACAAAUUGCAGUAUAUCCAUACUAUGAAAUACUUCUCAGCAAUAAGAAGGGAUGAACUACUGAUCCUCAAAACAAUAUGAAUGAAUUUCAAAACAGUAUGCUAAGUGAAAGCAAGAGACUCAAAAGACUCUAUUUAAUUCUAUUUACAUGACAGUCUAAAAAAGUCAAAAGCAGGUUGGUUGGCAGGAGCUCAGGAAAGAACUGACUGCAGUGGGUUAAGAGAAAACUUUUCGGGGUGAUGGAAAUUUUAUCUUAAUUGAGGUGGUAGGCGUACUUCAGGUGUAGGUUAUACCUUCGUAAAGCUGGGAGAAAAGGAAUUUAACGUAGUAUUUUACUGAUUUUAACUACAUAACACCAGUUGAUAAAUGCCUAGAGAAAUAGCCUGAACUGUAGAAUUGGCAGUUCUGCUCAAGAUGGCUCACUGGUCCACAACUAUUAAUGAUAUAUUCUCCCUUAGUUUCAGGUUCGCUCUAGUUAAAAUCAUGGCUUAUGGAUCAUCGUAUGAUAGCCAUUGUUGAAGUAGGUGGAACUAUUUGUUCUGUCAGCAGCUACCCACCUGGAUAUUUUUGGGGGUGGCCAAAAUUACUUGUAAUGAAAAACCCACUAAUGCCUAAUUGUGUAUCCCAGCAUGAAAGGGGAAAGAUCAACUCCAUGCAUCGUGUAGAUGUUUCUGCCCUCGGAAGCAGGAAAUGGUAGGAAGAAAAACAGUGUCGGCUUCAUUGGAAGAAGCGAACUUCAGCUCAUGAGUUGAGGCUCUGCAGCCAGAUCAUCUUACACGUGUCCCUGGUGAAGCAUUUGAACGGGAGCCAGGGCAGUCUGAGUAACCUACUACAAACCAGACAGCCUAACCACUGCCCCUGCUCUCAGCAAUGAUGGGCUCAUCAGCUUGGUAAGAGAGAACAUUACUCACAAUCUUGCUUCUCAGUCUUAAUCUGUUUGUGCUUAGUGUUUUGUAUAACAUCACUAACCCUAAUACUAGAGUAUUGACUUUGGCCCUUCUGUCCAUUUUAUCCAAAAGCAGACAGAUAGCCUUCAAGGCACACCAUUGCCUUAAGUAGAAUAUGCCUCCUAAGCAAUGAAAGCCUUUGACCCAUCUGAUAUCCAAGUUCUGGCUUAUUAUGUUAUUAGGGCCUUGAAUAACUUUAUGUAUAUUAUUAUGGACUGAGUGUAUCCCCACAAAUUCAUGUUGACCCUCUGACCUCCAGUGUGAUGGUCUUUGGAGAUGAGGCCUUUGGCAGGUGAUUAGAGCUAGAUGAGGUCAUGAGAGGGGGGCCCUCAUGAGAGGCUCAGUGGCCUGAUAAGAAGAAACACCGGAGAGCUUGCUGUUUCUCUGCCUACCUGGCACACACAUACAGAAGAGGUGAUGUGACCACACAGCAACAUGGUGGCCACCAGCAAGCUAGAAGAGGGAUCAGAAUGAAACCUAUUUUGCUGGCACCUUGAUCUUGGACUUCUAGCCUCCAGAACUGUGAGAAAUAAAAUUCUUUUAUUGAAGCCA